CGACGAGCUGGUGGAGAUGAUGAGGGUGAAAAUUGUUAGUGAAGCAAUGAUUGAUCAUCGCAACCGUGCCGCGCAGGGACUCCCUCCCCCACAGAGGCAGGUAGGUCGAGGCCCCGCAGCGCACUUUGUUACCCAGCAAUGGACCCAAGCAGGGCAUACCAUAGCUCCCAUAUUCGGACAGGCCCUAGCUUCCGCCACAUUGAACGCAGUGCCGGUGUUGGCAUAUGAUAACGCACCCGCUGAGGCAGGACCAUCUGGAAGGACUGACAACAGCAAGAAGAAGAAAAAGAUGCUAAACAGGCCCUUGCCAGGAGCAAGAUUUUGUACUUUCCAUCAACUAUACGGGCAUGACACCAGCGAGUGUCGGGAUGCCAACCGGCGCCCUGAUCGAAGCAACCCCCACACUUCCAGCAGAAACGAGCACCCCCGCAGAUCCACCUCCCUGAGGAGGGGAGGAAGGGGUCACCAGGAUCAAUCUCCUCGCAGAAGAGAAUCAAGAAACCGAGGCCAAUCCAGGCAAGAGAACCAAGCCCAAUUCGCUGGAAGCCAGGUCGUCAGGGAAAUCGAUACCAUCAUUGGGGGACCCCACGUAGGUGGCAACACCAGAAAUGCCCAGAGAAAUUAUACAAGAGAAGCUAAGGAUCCCCCGAUGAUCACCUACAUUGUCGACGAAUCAAAAUCAGCAAACGAGAUGGCCCCAAUCACCUUCUCACAGGAAGACUCUGAGGGAGUUCACCAUCCCCAUCGCGAUGCUUUGGUUGUAAGGGCUGUAGUGGCUAGAAACGGAUUAAAACGCAUGCUCGUUGACAACGGCAGUUCCGUGAACAUAUUGUUCGGCUCCACUUUUGACAAAAUGCAAAUUGAACAUGGGUUAAUCCCCAUGACUGACCCACUGUUCGAAUUCACUGGGGACAGCAUCAUCCCACGAGGGCGGAUCACCCUGCCUGUGGAAAUGGGUUCGGCCCCCCUGGUCGCCUAGCAUUUCAUGGAAUUUCUGGUGGUAGAUCACAGGUCGGCUUAUCAUGGAGUACUGGGCAGACCUGCUCUAAAAGAUCUUUGGGCUGUGACGUCCAUUCACUAUCUGUGCAUGAAAUUCCCAACUGAACGUGGGAUUGCAACGGUCCGGGGCGAUCAGAUGGGCUCCGGGGCGAUCAGAUGGGCAUGCUACCUAAACUCGCUACGUAAAUCUGAGCCCCGAACUGUUAAUGUAAUUCUAGCCGAAGUACCCGCUGAAGCCGGUACUGAUGUGGAAAUGCUUGACGCCCCUGAACAAGGGCAUACCUCUGAACAAGAGGAAGAUGUCGUAAUAGAAGAGGCCCCUGAACAAGGACACCCUCUUGAUGAGUUAGACCCCCGAAUAAUCGAUUAUGAACCGAAUGCGACCCCAAUGGAAGAACUGGAAACUUUCCCAGUCAAUCCAGA
rnacentral:lncRNA from 1 species